UCCUGGUUUCCCAGGCAGUCCCACCAGAGUGCCCCCAAAAGGGUUGCAACUGGUAGCAAGGGUUGCGCUCGUUAGAGGACUUAACCUAACAUCUCACGACACGAGCUGACGACAGCCAUGCAGCACCUGUGUAAUUGUCCAAGUAAACUUGGAAGACCGUAUCUCUACAGCUGUCAAAAACAUGUCAAGCCCAGGUAAGGUUCCUCGCGUAGUGUCGAAUUAAACCACAUGUUCCACCGCUUGUGCGAAUCCCCGUCAAUUCCUUUGAGUUUUAAUCUUGCGACCGUACUCCCCAGGCGAAUCACUUAACGCGUUAGCUUCGACACCAAUCUAGCUAAGCCAGACUGACGUCUAGUGAUUAUCGUUUACAGCGUGGACUAC
rnacentral:misc_RNA from 1 species